UUAAUGAAGGCAAGAGGUCUCAAAUCUCAUGCAUUAUAGCCUUAGCCUUCUACUGGAUUCCGGCCGUAAAAAAGAAUAGGAUCUUUGGCUUUCUUCCAUCUGGUAUAUUAUUUCCCCAACCGAUCAUAGUAAUACUGCAAUAUAAGCAACACCAAUUUAUCAGCUUUAAAUGAAAAACCAAAGUCUCCUUCUAUUAGUGUGCCUCUGCGCACUCUUUCUAAUGCAACUAUUCUACGGCUGCGACAACCAUACCGGCUUCGGGCCCUCAACCCCAAGACGGUUUCGUCCUCCAUCUUUUAUUCCUUUGCACCAAAUUUCAAUUCUCAUGUCAUUUCAAAUAGAUCCAGGAGCCAAUACCUUCUUUGGUUCAAACAUAAUUUCGUUAUACUGUCAUCUGCAGAUUGUUUAAUCUCUCUAUAAGUUGCAUAUCCACAAAAAUUUGUCUCUUCCUCUCAGGUUGAAACCCAAAUCCAUUUGGCUUGUUUCUUGGCCGAAUUAUCUUGAAUCUAGGCUUAAUGUCAGCCAACCAUGGUUGAUAGUGAGUAGGGACGAUGAGGCCAGAGGAUGAUUCUAGGGUGGCCAGGUCUGUGGGAGGCAACGACCGUGAAUCUGGUUUCCAAGAAGACGACUUAUUUGGUUUGACCGGAGGCAAGGAAAGUGAGAAGAUGUUGCGACACAAAUCUGGUAGGGUUUUGGAAUGGGCUCGUGCAAUUGGGCCUGAGUCUAGAACCAAGCUAAGUCAAAAAAGUCAAAAUCAAUCUGAUUCAAUCAUAUGUUUGUACAAUAUACUCUUCUUGUGCAAAUAAUAAUGCAUGUAAUAUUAUGAUUUGAACGUUUCUAUUCUACUAUUUAAAAUAUCGACUAAGGCCUUUUUGGUUGAUGAUUUUCGAAUGUUCGAAGUGAUUUACUUGUUAGAAUUUGGUUGAUUAUCUUUACAACAAAAUAUUAUGUAAAUCUAACGGAUCCAAUCAUGAUCUUGCUAAAUCUUGUUGAGUGUAGG